rnacentral:rRNA from 1 species
GGACUACAAGGGUUUCUAAUCCUGUUUGAUCCCCUUGCUCUCGCGCCUCAGCGUCUGGUAUAAGCUAGAGAACCGCUUUCGCCACCGGUGUUCUUCCACAUAUCUACGCAUUUCACCGCUACACGUGGAAUUCCGUUCUCUCCGCCAAACCUCAAGUCAUAUAGUUUCAAAUGCAGCUCCGAAAUUGAGUUUCGGAAUUUCACAUCUGACUUACAUUACCGCCUACGCGCCCUUUACGCCCAAUAAUUCCGAUUAAUGCUUGCACCCUCCGUAUUACCGCGGCGGCUGGCAC